rnacentral:rRNA from 1 species
UACGUAGGUGACAAGCGUUGUCCGGAUUUACUGGGCGUAAAGAGCGCGCAGGCGGUCGUUCAAGUCGAGUGUGAAAGCCCCCGGCUCAACUGGGGAGGGUCAUUCGAUACUGAUCGACUCGAAGGCAGGAGAGGGAAGUGGAAUUCCCGGUGUAGUGGUGAAAUGCGUAGAUAUCGGGAGGAACACCAGUGGCGAAGGCGACUUCCUGGCCUGUUCUUGACGCUGAGGCGCGAAAGCUAGGGUAGCAAACGGGG